ACUCUGAGCAGUGGAUCACUCGGCUCACAGGUCGAUGAAGAACGCAGCUUGCUGCGAUAAUUGGUGUGAAUUGCAGGACCCUAUUAUUCU
rnacentral:rRNA from 1 species